rnacentral:rRNA from 1 species
GGUGUCCGAGUUGUAAUCUCUAGAAGUGUUUUCCGCGUUGGACCGCACACAAGUCUGUUGGAAUACAGCGGCAUAGUGGUGAAACCCCCGUAUAUGGUGCGGACGCCCAGCGCUUUGUGAUACACUUUCAAUGAGUCGAGUUGUUUGGGAAUGCAGCUCAAAUUGGGUGGUAAAUUCCAUCUAAAGCUAAAUAUUGGCGAGAGACCGAUAGCGAACAAGUACCGUGAGGGAAAGAUGAAAAGCACUUUGGAAAGAGAGUUAACAGUACGUGAAAUUGUUGGAAGGGAAACGCUUGAAGUCAGACUUGCUUGCCGGAGCUUGCUUCGGUUUGCAGGCCAGCAUCAGUUUUCCGGGGUGGAUAAUGACGGUUUGAAGGUAGCAGUCUCGGCUGUGUUAUAGCUUUCCGUUGGAUACGCCCUGGGGGACUGAGGAACGCAGCGUGCUUUUUGCGAAAGACUCGUCUUUUUCACGCUUAGGAUGCUGGUGGAAUGGCUUUAAACGACCCG